UAAUGCAUCGUGCUGUGGAGGGAAUGUUUACGUUCGACGAGCGAUGACAGCUGAGUAAUUCAACAAAAUGUCUGGUUUGAACCAUAUCAACAAGGACUCUUCUUAUAAAAUGUGGCUUUUCAUACGUCUUGAGGAUUACUCCAAAGCUAAGAAUCAUGCAUACACUCCUUGGUGACUGUGGUAGUGAAAACUGAAAGAUUAGUGACACCUUCUUUUCCUUCGUCGUGCACACAUGAUGGAGUGUACUACUGUACUACUACUGCUGCCAGUGAAUGCUGUAUCGGCAGGAAGGACGACGAUGGUUUGGUGGCAUUGGUAACUUCAUCAUGUCCUCACAUAAUGACAUGCUUUGACAAGUAGCUGGAUAGAUGUAGAUGUCUAUAGUAUGAUCCUCUCCAUGAUGGAACAAAGUGUGCUGUUGUUCCUGGUCAAGGUCAAUCAAGCGUCAUGCUACAGUGGGAACAUCUUCAUUACAUCUUAAACAUGGUCAGACAUCCAAUUCUUAUAUGGGCGGUGAUGUUUGAUUCCAACGUUGACAUCUGCAUUUGAUUCCUACAUGGGGCAGCUACGUUUGGAAUUCUACAGAUAGCAACAUCUGAUUCCUACAUAGACAGCAACAUCUGACUCCUAAAUGGACAGCAACGUUUGGAUUCCACAUGGACAGCAACGGCUGAUUCCUAUGGACAGAGCGACGUUUGGAUUCUUACAUGGACAGCAACGGCUGAUUCGUAUGGACAGUGACAUUUGGAUUCGUACAUGGACAGCUUCUUAAGGAUUCUUAAAUGGACAGCAACAUCUGGUUCCGAAAUGGACAGCAACGUCGCUGAUUCCCACAUUGACAAUGUUUAACACAGAUCUGUGUGUGCAAACUGUGUAGUAAAGAGAAUCUUAGUUAAAAAACAACAACAACAAUUUCAGACUUAAUAUUAUGGUUCAAUUUAAGGCACUGGACACAGUUUUGUCAAA